GCGAAACCUGUGUCCUGCUCUGCAGCACAAACUAGGCAUGGCGGAGCCCACUUAGUUGUCCAGUCUGUGGGAUGUCUGCACCCAUAACACAUUAUUGUUUAAAGUUCAGGACAUAUAAAUGACCGUCAUCCCUCUUCAUAUCUCUGUUGCAUGGGGCCCCUCUCUGAAGAUGAGGGGCCCCAUGCAGUCAGAGAUCAUGGCUUAAACAGAUUGAAGCUGUUCUCUUGUGUCAGAUAUGAUAUAGCCGCUUAGUGCCUAAUGGGCCCGGAAAAAGAGGUAAACAUGUCCUCGACCCUGCGAAUUCCAUUACAUAAAGAAGUUGAUUUGCAACUGUGGGUACGCACACAGCGAAGACGGAACCCGGCUCACCGGAUAAGCCCUGGGGCCCGCGAAUUCACUGAAGAAAAACCGUGACAAACAAACAAUCCGCGGGGCUUUUAAAUGACUGCUGUAACAUAACAUUAACAUGCGAGUGCAUUAUCAGAUAAUCGACAAAUGACUGCAAAGUGUUCUCACUUAGACCGUAAGAUACAAUCAACACCCAGGAUGAAUGUAACUUGGUAUCCAGGCGUUAAAGCAGGAAGAAAAAUAAACCCAGAGAGUAAUUGCUGAUAUGUUCCUAAUGUGCCCCCUCACCCUUGCCUCCCCUUCUCUGUACCCCCUGCUGAUAGGCCACCCCUGAUGGCUGUCACACCUGGUGUUGAAGACGGUAGGGUGUAUUUUAUCUGCUCAGGGCCCAUUGGGGGGCUAUUCGUCUUCCUCCAGACUGGUGUUGGGAGGUCAGGGACAAUCCCUCUGUUUAUCCCCCUGUCCGUCAACGCUGCACACAUCCCUGGAGUUUCUCCUGCAUCUCCCCCGAGAAAGUGAGGCACACUUGCAACGCUGGGCUGGAAUGUUGAAUAAGGGCAACGGGGGUGCUCAACACGAAAUACAGCGAGAGAGGAAUGAUGCUUUUUAACACAUUCAAGGUCCCCCCGCCUGAAACGUAGGUACACUGCAUCACCGCAACUAUGAGUCGAGCAUAGCCAUAAAAAAUGACCUGUGUUGACGCAGUGUCUCUGUGAGAUAUUUUCUUUUGACCAAAAUUACUAGAUGGACGCGUUUGUAUUCGUGUUUGCUUUUGCUGCUCUCCUGCAAAGUAGUUAACUUGCCAUUGUUUAGAUAUUGAGUGUGUGCCCGGUGGCCGGUAAGAGCACUGUUUAUCUACUCUGCGUUGCACUACUGCUUCUGCCUGCACACGUGUGUCUGGGAUUCCGGGAUAGGUCCCCUGGGCCGGCAGACCACACAUGUGGAAAACGUGAACUCAGCCCCCAGACCAGUUCCUCCGAGACAAAAAUAUAAGGAAUUACAAGAAAUUGUAGACAAUGGAAAAAAAACACACACAAAUAAGGAUAACACAUUCAUCACAAUAUGAAGUUGAAUAAAUACGUUGUGUGGAUUUCAAGUUACAUCACAGAUGAGGUAAUGCCUUCCUGUAGCCAUUUCCAGCAGGUAAAUCAAACUAUGAAGCAAUUUCUUCCCAAGUGAACCUGCAGUAACAUCAAAUAAAUCGGAAAGUGCCAGAGUUUUUGAGGAAUUAAUCAAACAAUAUUUCAGAUAUUUUGCUUUCAAGAGGAACAGAUAUCUUUUAAGCUGACAAAGAGCGCGGGAGUGUAGACCCAGCCAAACGGAUUAAGGGAAAAAGAAAAUGAGUUGAAAAGAGGAGGGAGUAGUGUGUGAGCAAGGGAGUUGAAAUUUGACUCACAAGCUUGCACUCUUGCCUCUCUCUCUGGGACUCCUCUACUUGGCUUCGACUUAAUUGCGUCCCCGAUAUAAACAAGGGGGUUAGUGUGAGAGCAGACCAGCAGCUGAGGGGCUCAAGCAGAGGGCCAGACUGGGGAUUGAGUUCAGAGGAGAAGGACUUAACGCAGAAACUGAUAUAAAAUAUGCAAGACAACGCAAAGUUGGGGGUCGAAGACAGCGACGGUGGCAAAAAUUAGAAGUCGGGGCAGAAAUGUGUCAGCUUCACCGUUUCACAUCUCACUAUGUUUUUUCCGUCAGAGCCAGCUUGACCGGCGUAUCAAGUGGUAAUGCUGCAGUGUAAUGCCAGAUCCGGGGCAUCAGACAGUAGCCCUCCUGGCUCCAGCACAGUCGAAGCUGCCUCUAUGAACAUCUCUUUCACAGAUGCUCCCCUCUGAUCGAUUGGUUCCAGCUCUCUCAAACAGACAGCCAGGGAUUGGAUUCCAUUAUAAGUGAUCCCUGCUCAGUCCUAAGCCCACCAGUCCCAGGCAGAUGCUGCUGAGGUGUAUCUCUGGAUUAAGCUCCUAAACUAACAAAAUACCCGAGGUGAGGGCCACGUACAGUUUGCUUUACAGGCGCAGCCCAAAAUACAUGUGGCUGAUACUAUUUCUGGACGGUGCAGAUGUUGGAACCACUUCUGAAGUGAAAUUAGCGCAGGGCAAAAGAAAUACAUUUGAUUUUUUUUUCUUUUCAUGCAAGCUUUGGUUCGCAGGAAUACUUCAAUAUUUUGGUAAUAUAUUUAAUUUGUGAGAAUGGUUUGUGGGAGACUUUGGGUGACUUUGGAGAGAUUUGGGCCGGCUAUUUUCCCCAGUUUACAGUCAAAGUCCUCAGCUAAUGGCUAAUGGUGUUAGCUUAAUUGAGUAAGUACAGAUAUAUUUUUGAAGAAAAAAGCAAAGGAAUGCAAUUACAAAGAGUAUUUAUCAUAUAAAGUUAUUUGAAUCUGCUUUUUGGCAACACUGCCAGUAUGAAGUGUUUUCUGCCUGGUACUGAGCAUGUUGUCUACAUACUCUUAGUAGUAGACACGUAGUAGUUUGUUUAACAAAGAGCCGUUUUGAAAGCAAAUGUUAGUUAGUACUGCCUUCUUACUGCCUCCAGAUGUCGUACUCUGUGCUAAUGGCUUCUGCCCUUUUACGCUAAAUAACUACAUGCAACAAAAAUUUAAGCAGAACACAUUUAAAAAAAAAAGACAAAUAAGACACUUCACGCUGAAAACAAAAUCAAACUCUUCCCGCUUUGCCACGGCUGCUUAUGGACUAGUGGUUUUAUUCUACUUAUGCUUCUAUACAAAGAGGGAUAUAAGAGUUACAAGGAAAGUGGUAUUAGAAGUGGCAUACGUACUAUUUAUGCCAUAUUGUGCGUUGAAGCUGAGGACAAAUUGUGUCUUGGGAAGCUGCCCGUGUGUAAAACGCUCAAUUUCAGUCCCAGCUAUUUAGGUGGCAAUCAUCCGUAAGGUCAGGCCAGUCCCAGCACUUCAUUUCUCAUCUAUUUUGUUUCCACCAAUGGACAAAUAAAUGAAGGCUGACGUCGACUCCCAUGAUUUGCUGUAAAGUUGUAGCAGACAUGAGUUUGUGUGUCCGUGUCCUGCGGAACAGAACCUUUUUUUCUCGUGUCCUGUAGAGGAUAAAGGAGCAGUACAACACACAUAUGUCAUCAUUGCAAGCCACAUAUUAUAGCACUGACCAGGCUGUGAUUUGCGUGUGACUGAGACCACAUUUAUUUCAAACAUGUCAAUGAUUAGGAGAUUUGUAGAGGCAGAUCUUGUUUAUUUUCAUCAAAGUUCCCAUGAACUUUUUUUCCCCCAAAUGUUAUCUGGAUGCCAUCCUAUCUGAAAUGAGAUAAUCUUUCUACUUGGAGCAUUUGCAGUAUGUGCAGGAGUGCAUAAUGGGUCAAAAUCCCACACUGUAUCCAAAACUAUGGAGCGAUUACGGGCAAAAUCAAGGGGCCCAUUUGCAACUUAGUGCAAAAACCGUGCAGCCCUGGCUUUUAACUGAUGACGAAGCUGUAAAGCAGUUUUAAACACACUGUACUGCAUUCUCAGAUACACUGCUGACAGCCAUAAGGCCAAAAAGAGAGCACCAUGAAUAGCAUCCAUGAGCAUGUGAUGCUCAAUAAGGGCCUCACUUUCUCUAUAGUGACAGUUUCACGUUGAAGGUAUUCGACCCAAGUCAAAUUUCCAAGUCAACUCUUGGUGGGGAUUUUGUGUUUACAUUUUUUAAUUGUUGGUGUUUGUUUUUUUAAGAAAUGACAAACUUAUUUUUGUCUCCCCUCCGUCUUAGACUUCCCUCCUUCCUUCCUUUUGCAGACACUUUUAGCAGCAUCUCCUGCCUUACAGUCUGCUGACAGAUGCCCUUCCUCAACAGCAGUUAGGACCUGAUUACAAUCAACUACCCACCAACCCGCUGGAAUGAACAUCCAAAGUGUUAUGGCUUUAAUUCUUCUCAACCGCCUUUAACAAGUACCUGCUACUAAGUGGUGAUAAGAGUCACUGAAUGGAGGCUUCCAUAUUUUACUAUCGAAUGCAAACAAAUAAAAAUGCGGAAAAAUGCAAACCUGCCUCAUCAAAAGUCUCAAUCUAUGUGUGAUUUAAAUUUUCUUUAGUAUCAUUGCAGACUCUUUGGUCCAAACCCACUUUCUUUGAGUGAAAAGUAUUUCAGUUUAAUAGUAAAAAUCUGUGCCAUCUCUGUUAACAAGCAAAUAGUUCCUUUCUAGUUGUAUUUCUUCAAUUGAUUCCAGACUUUAGGGCAGUUUUUUUGAAGGAACAGGGAUUUUAAGAUCGUGGACACAGUCUUAAAAUCAAACCAUACAAUGUAAUUCAAUAUUAAAUAAUACUACACUUAACAUUUGUACUUAUAAUGCACCAUUCAAUAACACCUAGAAAUAUACCUAAUUAGAGAAAAUAAAACGUGAGUUUGACAGUAUCUGUUUUGUGUGCAUUCAUGUCCAUAUGCCGAGUGUCUGAUCUUAAUUAGUGCAGGCAGGAUAACAAGAGGUCACAGUGUAGAAACUACUCCAAUCCACAACAUAAAAACCUGCAAGACUGUAUAGUUCCACCUGCCUGUUUGUUACACCUUUUACACCUUUUAGGAAAAAACCACACGUGUAAUGCCAAAAAGGUUUCACUGAAACACAAGACAUGCUGAUCAAAUAAAAGUGUUUAUUUCUACACCUCAACGCUGUUGCACAGGUGACCAUGUGAAGAGUGAUAGAAGGUCAGUUUGCAUCCGUGGACUGAACCGCUGCCAGUAACCACCAGGGCACCGAUCGUCUCAUGUUGUGACUGAAUUAAUUCAUUUGAGAAUGAACUACUUCCUAAACCCACGAGAGACCGAUUCAUUGUGGUGUGAAGAAAAUGACUUAUUCACCUUGGAGUUGCAACACUGGAAGUUCCCUGGUCCGUAAAAAAGCACACAUCUGUCUCCAAAUACUGCUUCUCUAUUUGCUUCAUGGCCUCAGAAUGAAAUUUGAAACGCCUGCUAACAUCACCGUUCUUCGUUCUAAAGCGUUCAAAAAUAAAAGUAUGUCCCGAGCUGAUCAAAGCAUAUUUCAAAUGAUCAGAAUUAGCCACAUUGGGUCUGAUUAAAUGCUGAUCCCGUAAAUUAAUUGCAUUGCGCUCCCUCAAUGACAGCUGUCACAUCACUCUUUCAAAAUAUGACCUUGGCUGAAUUGAAAAAAAAGAUGUUAAAUAUGUAAUUCAAACUACAAAUCGAAACAGUAAUCAGGUUUUUAUGUGGGAUGUAGUAUAAUUUUCUUCAGCUUUUAUAAUAUUGUAACAUGUUUAUCAAAAAAAUGUAUAAAAAUUGUCAAACAUGUUAUUUACUU
ensembl:lncRNA